GUGCGCAUUUCUGGAGCUGGGCAGCAUAUAUACUAAAAUUGGAAUGAUAAAGAAAAGAUUAGCAUGGCCUCUGAAUAAAAAAAAAAAAACUUUUAUGGCAAAAAUUUUAU